rnacentral:rRNA from 1 species
UUUCCUACGGGGCGCAGCAGUGGGGAAUAUUGGGCAAUGGGCGCAAGCCUGACCCAGCAACGCCGCGUGAAGGAAGAAGGCUUUCGGGUUGUAAACUUCUUUUAUGAGGGACGAAAGAAAUGACGGUACCUCAUGAAUAAGCCACGGCUAACUACGUGCCAGCAGCCGCGGUAAUACGUAGGUGGCAAGCGUUAUCCGGAUUUACUGGGUGUAAAGGGCGUGUAGGCGGGGACGCAAGUCAGAUGUGAAAACCACGGGCUCAACCUGUGGCCUGCAUUUGAAACUGUGUUUCUUGAGUACUGGAG